CACUCUUUCUUCCCCGCGCGAACCCGAGCCCUAACCGCACGGCAGUUCCUCCAUCUUCUUCUUCAUUUUCUUCCUCCCGAGCCGCACACCCGAAGCCGCCUUCUUCCUCUCAUCUCCCUCGCGCGACGCCAACCCUAAUCUGUCGGGCCGCCGACCACGCCUCAUCCCGAUCCUCUCCUCUUUGCGCCAGCCAUGCCCUAGAUCCAUCGCCGGCCACAACUCACAGAGCCAACGCCGAGCAGUGCCGGCGAUCCAUCCUCUGCCCUAGACUCACUCAGCACCGCCGGCCUUCUCCACGCCGAGCUCUGCACAGAGCCCACCGCUGACCUAGCACCGUCGCCGACCCCUCUCCUCUCCUCUUACCGCCGAUCACAGCCGACGCUGAGCCCUAGCCACCGACGCCCGUCGCCCUAUCCAUGGAGAUCCCGAGCAUUGGCCGCCGACUCUUGACCCGAGCAGCACCGACGAUCCUUUGCCUCUGCCCUAGCCUCCAACCGCGUGCCCUAUUUGAUCUUGGAGGUCACGGAUUGGUGAGGUUUUGUGUAUUGUGGGUGUUUUGAUUUCCGACAGUAACCCCAUCCUGCAGCAUCUUGUGCCAGCGCCAACAGUGGCUAGGUAGUGAGGGUAUUUGAUUUAGAGGGCAGCACCAUUUACCUCGUUUUCAGUUAGGUUUAUUGGCUGCAAGUUAUCUUCGGUUGUGGAUUCACAUUGCGGCUGUGAAUUGAGGACUUUGAUUCGAGACGGUAUCUCGACGGGUAUCUCGAUUAGCGUAUUGGAUCAUUUUAUCGGAGGCGGGUACUUUUGACUUAUUAUCUUUGAUAUGCUUAGUAAUGAAAUUAACAAUUUACAUUAAUUGUGUUUUCUUAUUUGUUCGGUUAAUCACUGCCCGAUACA